rnacentral:lncRNA from 1 species
GGAUGUUUGGGAACACAAGAUCCUAUUAAUUUGGGGCGUUUCCUUCUGGCUCGUUCCUUUGUUUUGUGUAUAAAUAUAAAAACCUUGUAAAGUCUGUUGAAAAGAUAUAACAAAAGUAGUAGAGACUUAAUACUCGUGGAUGUAAGCAAACUCUACCGAACCACGUUAAAAUCUGAGUGUCUUCUUCUUCUUUAUCUUCUCACAUUUAUUUUCACUCUCU